CUAUUAUUUUCUUUAUUUAGUAUAAGAUUAUGAAAUGAAGAUGAAUUCAUAAUGUAACUCCUGUUUGUUGUUCUUUAUCCAUGAUAUCGUUUCAUUUUUCGACACGGUGUGAGAUUUUAAAAUUGCUUUAAAGGUAAUUAACAACUACAGACAUUAACAAGGAGUCUGACACUCUAUACAAUAUAACAAACUUCUUACUCUGAGACUAAUUACCUGAAUGAUAAACUAUCACAUGAUUACGUUUUAAAGAUAAGG
rnacentral:lncRNA from 1 species